CUACGGGGCGCUCCAGGCGCGAAACCUUCACACUGUGCGAAAGCGCGAUGAGGGAAUCCCAAGUGCUUGCUCUUAGGAGUAAGCUGUUUCUCUGUUUAAAACGCAGGGAGAGGAAGGGCUGGGUAAGACGGGUGCCAGCCGCCGCGGUAAUACCUGCAGCUCAAGUGGUGACCGCUAUUAUUGGGCCUAAAACGUUCGUAGCCGGCUGAGUAAAUGCCUGGGUAAAUCGUGCCGCUUAACGGUACGAAUUCCGGGUAGACUGCUUAGCUUGAGACCGGGAGAAGCUAGAGGUACUCCUGGGGUAGGGGUGAAAUCCUGUAAUCCUGGGGGGACCACCAGUGGCGAAGGCGUCUAGCUAGAACGGGUCUGACGGUGAGGAACGAAACCCUGGGGCGCAAACCGGAUUAGAUACCCGGGUAGUC
rnacentral:rRNA from 1 species